GUCGUGGUCUCCCGGUUCUCUGGCAGUAGUGACUCUCAGAAACUGGGGAGCGGGCGGGCGGAGAAGUCUUUGGCACCUCGUCUUCCCCGUCUUGACCACUACGGCUAGCUGACUUGGACCUUGGAAAUAGAGUUCAUCCACCAACGCUUCAGCUCUAGGCACAUGUGUGUGUUCCAUUUUCUGUUUCAGCCAUGCAUGGCUUAGGUGAAUGUUCCAUAUUAGGAGACAGACAAGCUUGAGACUGCAAGAGGGCGGGGCUGGGAUCUGGAAGGCUUCACGGAAGAGUUGACUUUGGGACUGUGUUGAAAGAAGCCAGGAGAGGGGGAUAACCCAACUGAAGUAAGACUUCAGAAGGUAGAUAGAAGGAACCCCCAACUGUUAUGCCCCCAAGUGGACCCACAUCGAGAACCUGCUGGCUGAACACCUGCCUCAGGGUAUGGAUGUCAUCUCCAAAGUCCCACCUGGCAUCUCAUGGACAGUGCCUCAAAAGGUGACUGACUUCAGAGGUGCACCUUUGGCCCUGGCUAUUGGCAAGCUGGUUUUAGGUGAGAAAAAGACAAAUCCUUACAUUACUGGAGGAUUUUUGGCAGGUACUCUUUAUCUUAGCAGGACCCCUGGUUUCAAUGGGGGCGGGGGUUCUACGCCAGUGCUCUGUCGGUAAUCUACAGCCUAGCCC
rnacentral:lncRNA from 1 species